rnacentral:sRNA from 1 species
AAAUAAGGAAGGCAUCCUAAGUUCGCCGCGUCCUGCGGCAACGGAUGCAUGACCUACAUCCUGUAGG